AACGAACGCUGGCGGCAUGCCUAACACAUGCAAGUCGAACGAGACCUUCGGGUCUAGUGGCGCACGGGUGCGUAGCGCGUGGGAACCUGCCCUUAGGUUCGGAAUAACUCCCCGAAAGGGGUGCUAAUACCGGAUAAUGUCUUCGGACCAAAGAUUUAUCGCCUUUGGAUGGGCCCGCGUUGGAUUAGCUAGUUGGUAGGGUAAAAGCCUACCAAGGCGACGAUCCAUAGCUGGUCUGAGAGGAUGAUCAGCCACACUGGGACUGAGACACGGCCCAGACUCCUACGGGAGGCAGCAGUGGGGAAUAUUGGACAAUGGGCGAAAGCCUGAUCCAGCAAUGCCGCGUGAGUGAUGAAGGCCUUAGGGUUGUAAAGCUCUUUUACCCGGGAUGAUAAUGACAGUACCGGGAGAAUAAGCUCCGGCUAACUCCGUA
rnacentral:rRNA from 1 species